rnacentral:rRNA from 1 species
UACGUAGGUGGCAAGCGUUAUCCGGAAUUACUGGGCGUAAAGCGCACGCAGGCGGUCUUUUAAGUUUGACGUGAAAGCUCCCGGCUUAACUGGGAGAGGUCGUUGAAGACUGGGAGACUUGAGGCAAUGAGAGGGGUGUAGAAUUCCUGGUGUAGUGGUGGAAUGCGUAGAUAUCGUCAGGAAUGCCGGUGGUGAAGACGGGUGACUGGGCUGGUUCUGACACUGAGGCACGAAAGCGUGGGGAGCGAACGGG